UAGGUAAUUUCUAAAGCAGCUUCAAAAGCUUCCAUCCCUAUGGCUCUUCUAGGAUGUUCUUACAGAGAGAAGGAUACUUGGUGAGCCCACCUGGGACAAAACAGCAGCCUGAGGAAUUAACCAGCAAGGCAAAUGCAGGCUUCCUGGCAAGACUUUGUUUAUACCCGAGGCGCAGGGGUCCUCCUUGCCCCCACCAGCAAGGCGGAGGGCUCCUCUUUGCCCCCCACCAGUGGUAGGCAGGUGUUCGUUGGGGGGCAAGACAGGAAGAGAGGGGUAGAGAAGCCAUGAAGGGAGUCACUUCUACUACCAAAGUGUUACCAAAAGCAUCAGGUCCAGAUGCGAUGAAGGUUAGCCUCAAUUUCACCAUCUGCCAAAUAGUACCUGCCUUCUAGGAUUGUGCUGAGAAAUAACUGAGAAGUGGAACACACUGAACAUGGUCGGCCUGUAAUAAUAGCACUUCCUACGUUUUUACUCA